AGUGAACGCUGGCGGUAGGCCUAACACAUGCAAGUCGAACGGCAGCACAGGAGAGCUUGCUCUCUGGGUGGCGAGUGGCGGACGGGUGAGGAAUACAUCGGAAUCUGCCCAGUCGUGGGGGAUAACGUAGGGAAACUUACGCUAAUACCGCAUACGACCUUCGGGUGAAAGAGGGGGAUCGCAAGACCUCUCGCGAUUGGAUGAGCCGAUGUCGGAUUAGCUAGUUGGCGGGGUAAUGGCCCACCAAGGCGACGAUCCGUAGCUGGUCUGAGAGGAUGAUCAGCCACACUGGAACUGAGACACGGUCCAGACUCCUACGGGAAGCAGCAGUGGGGAAUAUUGGACAAUGGGCGCAAGCCUGAUCCAGCCAUACCGCGUGGGUGAAGAAGGCCUUCGGGUUGUAAAGCCCUUUUGUUGGGAAAGAAAUCUUUCAGGCUAAUACCCUGGGAGGAUGACGGUACCCAAAGAAUAAGCACCGGCUAACUUCGUG
rnacentral:rRNA from 1 species